CGAACGGGUGAGUAACGCGUGAGGAACCUGCCUCAAAGAGGGGGACAACAGUUGGAAACGACUGCUAAUACCGCAUAAGCCCACGGCUCGGCAUCGCGCAGAGGGAAAAGGAACAAUCCGCUUUGAGAUGGCCUCGCGUCCGAUUAGCUAGUUGGUGAGGUAACGGCCCACCAAGGCGACGAUCGGUAGCCGGACUGAGAGGUUGAACGGCCACAUUGGGACUGAGACACGGCCCAG
rnacentral:rRNA from 1 species